UUCUCGUCUUCAUGCCGUUAAAGCUGAAGUACUUGUUCUUGCUAGUGGCAAGGAUGGCAUGCUUCCCAGUAGAGAUGAAGCUUGGAGGCUCUUAAAAUCACUGAAAAAUUGCAAUAUAAGAUACUUCAAAGACAAUGGGCAUACCAUAUUAUUGGAGGAUGGUAUUAAUCUAUUGACCAUUAUCAAAGCUACCCAAU